UACGGAGGGGCUAGCGUUGUUCGGAAUUACUGGGCGUAAAGGGCGCGUAGGCGGUGUGUCAAGUCAGGCGUGAAAGCCCCGGGCUCAACCUGGGAACCGCGCUUGAGACUGGCACGCUCGAGUUCGGGAGAGGAUGGUGGAAUUCCCAGUGUAGAGGUGAAAUUCGUAGAUAUUGGGAAGAACACCGAUGGCGAAGGCAGCCAUCUGGACCGACACUGACGCUGAGGCGCGAAAAGCGUGGGGAGCAAACAGG
rnacentral:rRNA from 1 species